rnacentral:rRNA from 1 species
AUGGUUAGGAGUGUACCGAUUGGUGAGAAGCUCUACAUAGGAGGAGACCUCAAUGGCCACGUGGGUACAUCUAACACAGGUUUUGAAGGGGCGCACGGGGGCUUUGGCUAUGGCAUUAGGAAUCAAGAAGGAGAAGAUGUCUUAAGCUUUGCUCUAGCCUACAACAUGAUUGUUGCUAACACCCUCUUUAGAAAGAGAGAAUCACAUCUGGUGACUUUUAGUAGUGGCCAACACUCUAGCCAGAUUGAUUUCAUCCUCUCGAGAAGAGAAGAUAGGCGUGCGUGCCUAGAUUGUAAGGUGAUACCUGGAGAGAGUGUUGUACCCCAGCAUAAGCUGGUGGUUGCUGACUUCCGCUUUCGGAUUCGUGUUCAGCGGGAUAAGCGUGCCAAAGUCGCUAGAACAAAGUGGUGGAAGCUCAAGGGGGAGGUAGCUCAAGUGUUCAAGGAGAGGGUCAUUAAGGAGGGCCCUUGGGAGGAAGGAGGGGAUGCGGACAAUGUGUGGACGAAGAUGGCGACUUGCAUUCGUAAGGUGGCCUCGGAGGAGUUUGGAGUGUCCAGGGGAAGGAGAAGCGAAGAUAAGGAUACCUGGUGGUGGAAUGAUGAUGUCCAGAAGGCAAUUAAAGAGAAGAAAGAUUGCUUCAGACGCCUAUACCUGGAUAGGAGUGCAGACAACAUAGAGAAG